UGGAGUGUAGUUCAGUGGUAGAGCACUUGCCUAGCAGGCGGGGAGGCCCUGGGUUCCAUCCUCAGUACUGCAA
rnacentral:tRNA from 1 species